rnacentral:rRNA from 1 species
ACGGGUGAGUAAUGUCUGGGAAACUGCCCGAUGGAGGGGGAUAACUACUGGAAACGGUAGCUAAUACCGCAUAACGUCUUCGGACCAAAGUGGGGGACCUUCGGGCCUCACACCAUCGGAUGUGCCCAGAUGGGAUUAGCUAGUAGGUGGGGUAACGGCUCACCUAGGCGACGAUCCCUAGCUGGUCUGAGAGGAUGACCAGCCACACUGGAACUGAGACACGGUCCAGACUCCUACGGGAGGCAGCAGUGGGGAAUAUUGCACAAUGGGCGCAAGCCUGAUGCAGCCAUGCCGCGUGUAUGAAGAAGGCCUUCGGGUUGUAAAGUACUUUCAGCGGGGAGGAAGGCGAUGUGGUUAAUAACCGCGUCGAUUGACGUUACCCGCAGAAGAAGCACCGGCUAACUCCGUGCCAGCAGCCGCGGUAAUACGGAGGGUGCAAGCGUUAAUCGGAAUUACUGGGCGUAAAGCGCACGCAGGCGGUCUGUCAAGUCGGAUGUGAAAUCCCCGGGCUUAACCUGGGAACUGCAUUCGAAACUGGCAGGCUUGAGUCUCGUAGAGGGGGGUAGAAUUCCAGGUGUAGC